rnacentral:rRNA from 1 species
GGACACGUGAAACCCCGUGUGAAUCUGCGAGGACCACCUCGUAAGGCUAAAUACUACUGCGUGACCGAUAGCGAAACAGUACCGCGAGGGAAAGGUGAAAAGAACCCCGGAAGGGGAGUGAAAUAGAACAUGAAAGCUUAAGCUUACAAGCAGUGGGAGAACGACUAAACGUUUGACCUCGUACCUGUUGAAGAAUGAGCCGGCGACUUGUAGGUAGUGGCAGGUUAAGGUAGAAAAUACUGGAGCCAUAGUGAAAGCGAGCCUGAAUAGGGCGUUAGUCACUGUUUACAGACCCGAACCCGGAUGAUCUAACCAUGGCCAGUGUGAAGCUUAGGUAACACUAAGUGGAGGCGCGAACCGACUGAUGUUGAAAAAUCAGCGGAUGAGUUGUGGUUAGGGGUGAAAUGCCAAUCGAAUCCGGAGCUAGCUGGUUCUCCCCGAAAUGUGUUUAGGCGCAGCGGUUGUGAUUAUAGUUUGGGGGUAAAGCACUGUUUCGGUGCGGGCUGCUAACGCGGUACCAAAUCGAUGCAAACUCUGAAUACUAAGUGUGUAGUUAACCAGUAAGACUGUGGGGGAUAAGCUCCAUUGUCAAGAGGGAAACAGCCCAGACC